rnacentral:misc_RNA from 1 species
GCGAGACGUGAUUAAACAGGACAUGGUCUUAGAUAUGAGAAGUUAUGGAGGACAUAGAUUAGUGUAGGAUGAUAGUAGGUAGUUAAGCAUUGGCUGGUAGUUUGUUGUCCUUCAAUCCAUGGGUGCUACUUUCGACUGUCUCUUCUACUUCGAUUAUUGCACUAUUUCAUUGUAGUUUUUUUUCUUUGACAUGUUUUCUAUCGUAGCUACUUUGUUAUGCUGGUCUAUCAGGAACAUGCUCUCCAUCUUUACGAGCUUACAGAAGAUGGAGGAUGGAGAAAAUGGUAGUGCUUCCCUUACUCCCUUCUCGACACAAAAAACAACUUAUUCUUUAAGCCUUUUGGUAUUCAGAAGUUCUAGUGGUGAGUGA